GACGAACGCUGGCGGCGUGCUUAACACAUGCAAGUCGAACGGAAAGGCCCUGCUUUUGUGGGGUGCUCGAGUGGCGAACGGGUGAGUAACACGUGAGUAACCUGCCCUUGACUUUGGGGUAACUUCAGGAAACUGGGGCUAAUAACGGAUAGGAGCUCCUGCUGCAUGGUGGGGGUUGGAAAGUUUCGGCGGUUGGGGAUGGACUCGCGGCUUAUCAGCUUGUUGGUGGGGUAGUGGCUUACCAAGGCUUUGACGGGUAGCCGGCCUGAGAGGGUGACCGGCCACAUUGGGACUGAGAUACGGCCCAGACUCCUACGGGAGGCAGCAGUGGGGAAUAUUGCACAAUGGGCGGAAGCCUGAUGCAGCAACGCCGCGUGCGGGAUGACGGCCUUCGGGUUGUAAACCGCUUUCGCCUGUGACGAAGCGUGAGUGACGGUAAUGGGUAAAGAAGCACCGGCUAACUACGUG
rnacentral:rRNA from 1 species